rnacentral:rRNA from 1 species
UACGAAGGGGGCUAGCGUUGCUCGGAAUCACUGGGCGUAAAGGGUGCGUAGGCGGGUCUUAAGUCAGGGGUGAAAUCCUGGAGCUCAACUCCAGAACUGCCUUUGAUACUGGGUGUCUAGAGUCCGGAAGAGGUGAGUGGAAUUCCGAGUGUAGAGGUGAAAUUCGUAGAUAUUCGGAGGAACACCAGUGGCGAAGGCGGCUCACUGGUCCGGUACUGACGCUGAGGUGCGAAAGCGUGGGGAGCAACAGG